rnacentral:rRNA from 1 species
UGGGAGUGAGACUGCGGGCGACAAGGUUCGUAGUCGAGAGGGAAACAGCCCUGACCGCCGGCUAAGGUCCCGGAUAGUAUGCUGAGUGUGAAAUGAUGUGUCAUGGCGCAGACAGCCAGGAGGUUGGCUUAGAAGCAGCCAUUCCUUGAAAGAGUGCGUAACAGCUCACUGGUCGAGUCACGGCGCGCAGACAAUGUAACGGGGCUAAGCAUACAACCGAAGCCGCGGAUUCAUAGCGCAAUUUACAGAUGGUAGGGGAGCAUUCCACGGACCGACGAAGGUAAUCUGUAAGGUUUACUGGAGGGGGUGGAAGAGAGAAUGCAGGUAUAAGUAGACGAAAAGACGGGUGAGAUCCCCGUCCGCCGAAAGCCUAAGGAUUCCUGGGUAAAGGUCAUCUGCCCAGGGUAAGUCGGCCCCUAAGACGAGGGCGAAAGCCGUAGUCGAUGGGAAACUGGUUCAAAUUCCAGUACCGUUCUUGGUUUUAUGGGAUGACGCGUGAGGUGAAACCCGGCCGGGUGACGGAUGUCCCGGUCGAAGCUUCGAGUUAGAGGCGGCGGAGAAAACGCCGGCUGGCGAGAAGUGACAGCGAGCGGAGCUACGGCGAAGCGAAGCGGGCGUAAUCAAGGCGCCAAGAAAUAAUCCCCUCUGGUUAGGCCAGGAAGACCGUACCGCAAACCGACACAGGUAGGCGGGAUGAGCAAUCUCAGGCGCUCGAGAGAACUCGCGUUAAGGAACUCGGCAAAAUACGCACGUAACUUCGGGAGAAGUGCGGCCUUCUUUUGUUUAGAAAUAGGUAAAGGAAGGCGACACAAAGCAGUCCCAGGCGACUGUUUAAUCAAAAACACAGGCCUCCGCCAACCAGCAAUGAGACGUAUAGGUGCUGGACAC